AUUGAACGCUGGCGGCAUGCCUUACACAUGCAAGUCGAACGGCAGCACGGGAGCAAUCCUGGUGGCGAGUGGCGAACGGGUGAGUAAUAUAUCGGAACGUGCCCAGUCGUGGGGGAUAACGCAGCGAAAGCUGUGCUAAUACCGCAUACGAUCUAAGGAUGAAAGCGGGGGAUCGCAAGACCUCGCGCGAUUGGAGCGGCCGAUAUCAGAUUAGCUAGUUGGUGGGGUAAAGGCCCACCAAGGCGACGAUCUGUAGCUGGUCUGAGAGGACGACCAGCCACACUGGAACUGAGACACGGUCCAGACUCCUACGGGAGGCAGCAAUGGGGAAUUUUGGACAAUGGGCGCAAGCCUGAUCCAGCAAUGCCGCGUGCAGGAUGAAGGCCUUCGGAUUGUAAACUGCUUUUGUACGGAACGAAACGGCCCUUUCUAAUACAGGGGGCUAAUGACGGUACCGUAAGAAUAAGCACCGGCUAACUACGUGCCAGCAGCCGCCGUAAGAC
rnacentral:rRNA from 1 species